rnacentral:rRNA from 1 species
UUGCGUCCCAUUAGCUAGUUGGUGAGGUAACGGCCCACCAAGGCAAUGAUGGGUAGCCGGCCUGAGAGGGUGAACGGCCACAAGGGGACUGAGACACGGCCCUUACUCCUACGGGAGGCAGCAGUGGGGAAUAUUGGACAAUGGACCACAAGUCUGAUCCA